CAUAAAGGAAAUAUAUAAAUAUAAAUAUAAAUUUCCCGGCGAUUAUGAUCAUCGCAUUACAACCCAAAAGCCAAAAUUCCUUCUCUGUUUCUCAAUCUGAGCAAAAUCUUCCAUACAUUCUCAAAAUCUAACCUCCAUUGAAACAAACCCAACCAUAAAAAUCAAAAUUUUACAUGAUUAUCAAAUAGAGAAGCUACACAAAUAGAGGACUCUACACACAGACAACAAUGGCGAUGCCACCUCCUACGCCUCAACAACAACCACAGCAACAAGAGAGAUCAAAGCCACUACACAACUUCUCUUUGCCUUUCUUGAAAUGGGGACAACAAAGAGUCCUUAGGUGUGUCAAAGUCAGUGAUGAUCAUCGAUCUUCUUCUUCUUCGAUUCCAAAUGGAUUUGGAUUUCAAUCCAAACCCACCAAUUUUGACUCUUCGAACAAUCACAACCCUAAUUUAAUUCAACAAAAUCACAUUUCAUCUGAUCUUAGACUCAAUGGAGGUGCUGCUGCUAAAAGAUUGAAGGUUUCUCCUCUUCUUGAAGAAGAGAGACCACCUCCUAAUAUUAAUGAUGAUGCUGCUGCUGCUGCUGCUCGGCCUUGGAAUUUGAGAACCAGAAGGGCUGCGUGUAAGGCGCCACUGCGAAUAGAAGACAAGAGGAAUUUGGAGUCUCCGAAGAGAAUUUUGGAGAUUGAUUCGCCAAAUAGAAUUGAGACUUCUUUGGUUAAGAGGCAGAGUGUUGAGCCUGUUAAAGAGAGAAUCAAGUUUUCUGUUCCUUUAUCAAAGACAGAGAUUGAGCAGGAUUUCAUGGAGAUUGCAAGGAUUAGGCCUCCUAGGAGGCCUAAGAAGAGGCCUCGAAUUGUGCAGAAGUAUUUGGACUCAAUUUUCCCAGGAUUGUGGCUAGCAGAAGUUACGCCAGAUUCAUAUAAGGUUCCUGAAGUACCUGAGUCAUGAGAGAGGCAGAAAUGAAAGUGUAAUUGUUUUCAGGGGAAUUCCUUAUAUUCUGCUUGCUAACAAUGGUGCAUUUGACCUCAAUUAAUGAGUUAGAAAACUUACUACAAAUGAUAAAAGAGUAGUUUCCAAAUUGGGAUGCAAUAAUAGAGGAAGCUGAUACAGGAAUAUGCUUCAUCAGCAGCAGGUGAAAUUUGUGCUGAAGUUUACUCUCAAUUUUGAUAGAUAUGUGGGACGCCGGAGGUAGUAGUUGUAAGCUAAUUGAGCUCCAUAUCUGGUUGCCAAUUUUAUCAGUGCCUCUUUCAAGGUUGAAAAUAGUCUAACAAAAUAAAAUCCUUUUCUGAGUGCUGGUGGGAUCUUCCGCUCAAAUGGCUGGUGUUAUAUUCUCUGCUUUACCACUUAGCUUUAUGUAACAUGCUGCAAAAUGCAGAAACCUAUUUUGCUUUGGAAGGACCAUUGAUAACAAUAUCUCAACCUAAAUAAAUUCAUUCCUGAAACAUACUUGGAUUA